rnacentral:rRNA from 1 species
CAGUAGCCGCGGUAAUACGUAGGGCGCAAGCGUUGUCCGGAAUUAUUGGGCGUAAAGAGCUCGUAGGCGGUCUGUCGCGUCUGGUGUGAAAUCCCGAGGCUCAACCUCGGGCUUGCAUCGGGUACGGGCAGACUAGAGUGCGGUAGGGGAGACUGGAAUUCCUGGUGUAGCGGUGGAAUGCGCAGAUAUCAGGAGGAACACCGAUGGCGAAGGCAGGUCUCUGGGCCGCAACUGACGCUGAGGAGCGAAAGCAUGGGGAGCGAACAGGAUUAGAUACCCGCGUAGUCCCUGUCUCUUAUAC